UACGUAGGGGGCGAGCGUUGUCCGGAUUUAUUGGACGUAAAGAGCGCGUAGGCGGCCCGUUAAGUCGGAUGUGAAAACCCGUGGCUCAACCACGGGCCUGCAUCCGAUACUGGCGGGCUCGAGGCAGGCAGGGGAGAUCGGAAUUCCUGGUGUAGCGGUGAAAUGCGCAGAUAUCAGGAUGAACACCGGUGGCGAAGGCGGAUCUCUGGGCCUGUCCUGACGCUCAGGCGCGAAAGCUAGGGGAGCAAACAGG
rnacentral:rRNA from 1 species